CCCGCAACGAGCGCAACCCUUGCCAUUAGUUGCCAUCAUUAAGUUGGGCACUCUAAUGGGACUGCCGGUGACAAACCGGAGGAAGGUGGGGAUGACGUCAAGUCCUCAUGGCCCUUAUGACCAGGGCUUCACACGUCAUACAAUGGUCGGUACAGAGGGUCGCGAAGCCGCGAGGUGGAGCCAAUCUCAUAAAACCGAUCGUAGUCCGGAUCGCACUCUGCAACUCGAGUGCGUGAAGUCGGAAUCGCUAGUAAUCGCAGAUCAG
rnacentral:rRNA from 1 species